rnacentral:rRNA from 1 species
UACGUAGGGGCCGAGCGUUGUCCGGAGUUAUUGGGCGUAAAGCGCGCGCAGGCGGCCUCGCGCGCCCGACGUGAAAGCCCCCGGCUUAACCGGGGAGGGUCGUUGGGGACGGCGGGGCUUGAGGGCGGGAGAGGGUGGUGGAAUUCCCGGUGUAGUGGUGAAAUGCGUAGAGAUCGGGAGGAACACCCGUGGCGAAGGCGGUUCUCUGGGACGGUACUGACGCUGAGACGCGAAAGCGUGGGGAGCGAACAGG